CUUGCGGCCAUAUCAUAUUGAAACCCCAGUCUCCGCACGAUCACCGAAGCUAAGCAUCAUCGAGCCUGGUCAGUAACUAGAUGGGUGACCUUUUGUCAAUAACGGGUACAGU